UACGUAGGGACCAAGCGUUGUUCGGAUUUACUGGGCGUAAAGGGCGCGUAGGCGGUGCGGUAAGUCACUUGUGAAAUCUCUGAGCUUAACUCAGAACGGCCAAGUGAUACUGCAGUACUAGAGUGCAGAAGGGGCAAUCAGAAUUCUUGGUGUAGCGGUGAAAUGCGUAGAUAUCAAGAGGAAUACCUGAGGUGAAGACGGGUUGCUAGGCUGACACUGACGCUGAGGCGCGAAAGCCAGGGGAGCAAACGGG
rnacentral:rRNA from 1 species